CCUCCCUCCGGAAGGUGUCAGCGACCAGGCCCAACCGCUCCGAGAGCAGCCCUGGGCUCCAGCUGCCCGGGCGCGGCGGCUGCUGGGAAAUGUAGUUCGGCGCCGCACUCGCGAGAGACAAGAUGGCGCCUGGCUAGAGCUCAGCCAGAGAUUCCUCACAAUCGCUCCCUCCCUUCACCCCUUCUCCCCCCGCCUCCCCAAGCCUGGAACCAGGAGUCUUCCGGCGCUCCUGGCGGACGUAGCCUUUAACUAUAACUCCUAGUUGGAGUUACCGGCGCGCUUGAACUGAGCUUAUUAUAACGCAAGACACAACACUGCCCUCUCCCAGAGACAGACAUAACACAGAUAGAAUGUUACCUAGGUCCUGAAGCUCGGCCUACGUACCCGCCUCCCCCAGCCGGGGAGACAGUCCCACAAACUGGGGUGGAGUUAAGCAAGCGCGAAAGCUGACUCGAAAAGGUCUCUCGAACCACUGAAACUUCUGGGAAAUGUAGUCCACAAUCAGAAGAGCGGACGACCGACCAAUACCGACCGAUUCCGUCGGGGAUUGAGCCCGGGCUUGUUGGCGCCCAGGAGACCUCUGGGAGUGCUAGCCAGCCCAAGAAGUGCGCAGGCGCAGAAUUCGUGGCUCGCCAUCGUUGUCUUUGUCUGCUGGCCAGCUUCCCUGUGCAUCCCCAGGAGCUACACUUUCUUUAUCCUUCAAAACCUUUGAGGAUCCUAAGGACCCAGUCUAAAUUCUGGGAUGCUGCUUUGACCCUCAACAAUCACAUCCGAAUCGUAUGUCAGUAUUUCGAGUUUUAAAUCCAUCAGUUCAAACAAGAAGAGCAAUGGAUGUUUGAGGAAGGAAUGUAAAGGAGGUGUUCUCCAGGGGAGUGAGACAGAACCCAGCAGGUAUGAAUGGGAUAAAGGCUCAUUACAGUCAUUCAGUGAGUUUGCAGCACCUGAAAAUUUUUUUUGAGGAGAUGGUCUUAUCAGCCCUUGUUUUGUUUCUGUUUUUGUUUUUGGUGGGGGUAGGUAAUUAGAUUUAUUUACUUAUUUAUUCUUAGAGGAGGUACCAAGGAUUGAACCCAGGACCUCAUACAUGCUAAGCAUGCACUCUACCACUUGAGCUAUACCCUACCCCGUAGCCCUUGUCUUUUGGAGUGACAAUUGCUGAGGAUUCUUUAGAUCCCCAAAUAACGUUUCAAAAGACUCUUCCUGGAUUGAAGCUCUUCUUUUCUCAGGUUCUGGAAGACUGGUUGCCCCUCUAACGUCUCUUCUGGAUGCCAGCCUCUCUACCUCAUUUGCAGUCUCAAUUUUCUGACUUUCACAGCCUAAAUUUCGUGCCUCUUCUCACUAACAUGCUCCAUUUUUCACUUCUCUCUGUAUGCCUAGACUCCCUUCCUUACUCACUCAGUCCUUUUUGCCAAGGAUUCUAGAUCUGUAAUUGUUUGAAAACUAGCACAUAGAUUCUUUUCUUUAAAAUUUAACUAUCAUUUCUCCCUCCUUCCAUUGUUAUAUAUCUCAGAGGUGAAUCUUACCCCCCUUAUUCUUAUUUCUUCUUAUCUUCUUACCUCCAACUAUCAUAGUACAACUUUUCUCCACCUCCUGCUUUUAAACAGUAAUGCAGGCUUGGCAAUUGGUGCUGACUUCCUACUAGUUCACCUCUCUCUUACUUUUAAAGAGAUAUAGUACUACUAUUUUUAAAAUCUAAUACAUACACUUGAUAGAAAUUAAAAUAAUAGCUAUGUCUCCUCAUUCCUGGCCCUGAGUUCUCCAUUUCUGCUCCCUGGAAGCAGCCACUAUUAACAC
rnacentral:tRNA from 1 species